AUGAGCGUCGGCCAGCCGGCGCAGGGCAGGGACCAGAAGCCCUUGGCCAGGUGAAGCUGCUGCUGCAAAGGCGAGAAACAAGUGAGACAUCCACACCCAGAGCCCCGAGCGGCAACAUGAGUCACUGCUCUGUGCCGGCAGCAUCCAGCACUGGGGACAUGCUGGCCCCGCACCCCUGUGGGGUCUUUUCAGGACGGGGUGGGCGGCCAAGAGAGGUAAAGGGUGAGCUCUGAUGUUCCAUGCUGUGAUGGAAUUUGCAUACAGAUCUGGAAAAAUCCUUUUUUUCAUACCCUAAGACAGUAAAGCCAAGAAAAGGUUAAAAAGAAAAAAAAGGAGUCUGAGAUGACAGUUUAUAAACUCAUGAAUAAAAGAAAG